AGAUCGUCACAUCCGGCAACGUCACCGUGACGGACCAGUCAAAACAACCGAAACAUGAUGCUAGCGUCUCACGCCCGCGAGUGAAAUGUCGUGUUUUUAGCGAUCGCCGAUGAAAACGUCAGAGAUUUGUCACCCUAAUGUCAUGUUCGUGUCGGAGUAUGAGUCUGACAGCGUUUUAUUCGGAAUAAGGGAUCGAAAAGCGAUCAUAAACGCUCCAGCGUCGCGACCGGUUUGCUAACGACAGUCGUCAGUUCAGCAGAAACCCGUGUGAGAGGUUUGCAGUGUAUCUGUGUCCCUGGGACGGGACGGUGUUCACCGAAGACACGGGGAACAGGAUCGGGAAGCAGGGGGAAGCGGCCACCGCAGAGCCCGUGGAGAAGAUGGCGAGCAGCCCGGAGAAAAGCUCCUCUGCACAGGAGCUGAAGGAGCAAGGCAACCGUCUGUUCCUCAGCCGCAAAUACCAGGAGGCUGCCACCUGCUACAGCAAAGCCAUUAAUCGUAACCCGUCGGUGGCCGUGUACUACACUAACAGAGCGCUGUGCUACGUGAAGCUGCUGCAGUACGACAAGGCGCUGGCCGACUGUAAACACGCCCUCGAGCUCGACAGCCAAUCGGUGAAGGCACACUUUUUCCUGGGCCAGUGUCAGCUGGAGCUGGAGAAUUAUGAAGAGGCCAUCGGCAAUCUACAGAGAGCUUAUAACCUGGCGAAGGAACAGCGGCUGAAUUUCGGAGACGAUAUCCCAAGUGCUCUUCGCAUCGCCAAGAAGAAACGCUGGAACAGCAUAGAAGAGAAGCGGCUCAGCCAGGAAAACGAGCUGCACGCCUAUCUCACCAAACUCAUCCUGGCCGAGAAAGAGAGAGAGCUGGACGACCGAGUGAAGCAGUCCGAGGACAUUCAGAACGGAGGAGACGUCUGCAAGAGCAAAUCCAAACACGAUAAAUAUUUGAUGGACAUGGAUGAGCUCUUCUCUCAAGUCGAUGAAAAGAGGAAGAAGCGAGAGAUCCCAGAUUAUCUGUGUGGGAAGAUCAGUUUUGAGCUGAUGAGAGAGCCCUGCAUUACUCCUAGCGGCAUCACCUACGAUCGCAAGGACAUCGAGGAGCAUCUACAGCGUGUUGGACAUUUUGACCCAGUGACCCGCAGCCCGCUGACCCAGGAUCAGCUGAUCCCCAAUCUGGCCAUGAAGGAGGUGAUCGAUGCUUUCAUCCAGGAGAACGGCUGGGUGGAGGACUACUGAACACACACCCACACACACACACACACACACACGCACACACUCGAGUGCGCUGCAGCAGUUUCCUCACGGCCGAUUGAUUCCUCUCCUGAAUGUUCAUGCACUUUAAUAUGUGGAGGAUCACCUCACCCACAUCAAUCACCUGACCCUCUUUCUCACCGUCUGGCUUUCUGUCAGUCCUCCAAACUCUUUCUGCUGUCUUUCGUUCGGGACAGAAUGAUCGGCUCGUCCUGCAGGUUCUGUUCAGACACUUGUUUUCAAUCAGAAACAUUGGCUGAUGUUUGCUGCACAUGAUGCUGUAAUUUUGUCAUUGAAUGUUCAAGUAGCAACAUUAUUGAUGACAUCACUAAUAAUCAUUCAUGAAAGAGGAAACUCGUGUAGGUUGGGGUGUGUGUGUGCGUGCGUGCGUGUGUGUGUGUGUGUGUUAGAAUCUAUUACCUAUAAGAUCUAUAUGCAGAAUGAAUGCGGUGUAUGCGAGUGUAAUAAGUUCUAACAGAAGGAGCAUGUUUGUAAGAUUCAUCUUGAGCUUUGGGUUCUGGCAGGACGCUGAUUUUUCUAAUGAGUGUUAAAACAUAUUUAGACAUUCAUCCAUCUGCUGGCUGCCAAUCAUUAAAAAUGAACUGAGAAUCUGUGGCAUGCAGAUGACAUCAUCAUCAUCAGAGUUAUGAUGUAUGAUACGUUUAGUCUCACUAUGUGUGCUUUAGAACGAGAGGUAAGUGAUUAUUACACACUAUUGAUUUGGUCUUUCUCUUUAGACCUUUGGGGAGUUUUCCGUUUCCUGUCUUGAACACACACUUCCUGUUCAGUAUCAGUAUUUUUCAGAGAGACCUUGCUAGUCGCUGGACGUCACGGUUCCAGAACUGUCCAUCCGGCUCGGGUCAAAUAUUCCUCAAGUGUAAUGAGUUUAGGUUGGAUGCAUGUUCAAUAAAUGCUAUUUUGUUUCUUUUGGUAACAAA